rnacentral:misc_RNA from 1 species
AGCAGCCGCGGUAAUUCCAGCUCCAAUAGCGUAUAUUAAAGUUGUUGCAGUUAAAAGCUCGUAGUUGAAUUUCGGGAUUGACGUGAUGGUCGUGCCUUACGGGGUAUGAACUGUUGCUGUUGAUUUCUCACCUUCUGGAGAAACUUGAUGUCCUUAAUUGGGUGUCUUGCGGAUCCAGGACCUUUACCUUGAAAAAUUAGAGUGUUUAAAGCAGGCAUUUUGCUCGAAUACAUUAGCAUGGAAUAAUAGAAUAGGACGGCAUGGUUCUAUUUUGUUGGUUUCUAGGAUCACCGUAAUGAUUAAUAGGGAUAGUUGGGGGCAUUAGUAUUCAAUUGUCAGAGGUGAAAUUCUUGGAUUUAUUGAAGACUAAACUACUGCGAAAAGCAUUUGCCAAGGAUGUAUUCAUUAAUCAAAGAACGAAAGUCAGGGGAUCGAAGACGAUCAGAUACCGUCGUAGUCUUAAACCAUAAAACUAUGCCGACUAGGAAAUCAAGACGAAUGUUUAAAUUUUUUAAUUGUA